rnacentral:rRNA from 1 species
UACGGAGGGUGCGAGCGUUAAUCGGAAUUACUGGGCGUAAAGCGCAUGUAGGUGGUUGUUUAAGCGAGAUGUGAAAGCCCCGGGCUUAACCUGGGAACUGCAUUUCGAACUGGGCGACUAGAGUUUUGUAGAGGGGGGUAGAAUUUCAGGUGUAGCGGUGAAAUGCGUAGAUAUCUGAAGGAAUACCAGUGGCGAAGGCGGCCCCCUGGACAGAAACUGACACUGAGAUGCGAAAGCGUGGGUAGCGAACAGG